rnacentral:rRNA from 1 species
AUUGAACGCUGGCGGCAUGCUUUACACAUGCAAGUCGAACGGUAACAGGCCGCAAGGUGCUGACGGGUGGCGAACGGGUGAGUAAUGCAUCGGAACGUGCCCAGUCGUGGGGGAUAACUACUCGAAAGAGUAGCUAAUACCGCAUACGAUCUAUGGAUGAAAGCGGGGGACCGUAAGGCCUCGCGCGAUUGGAGCGGCCGAUGUCAGAUUAGGUAGUUGGUGGGGUAAAGGCUCACCAAGCCAACGAUCUGUAGCUGGUCUGAGAGGACGACCAGCCACACUGGGACUGAGACACGGCCCAGACUCCUACGGGAGGCAGCAGUGGGGAAUUUUGGACAAUGGGCGCAAGCCUGAUCCAGCAAUGCCACGUGCAGGAAGAAGGCCUUCGGGUUGUAAACUGCUUUUGUACGGAACGAAACGGCUCUGGUUAAUACCCGGGGCUAAUGACGGUACCGUAAGAAUAAGCACCGGCUAACUACGUG